CGCUGAAAGCAUCUAAGCGGGAAGCGAGCCUUGAGAUGAGUUCUCCCUGAUACUUUAAGUAUCCUAAAGGGUUGUCGGAGACUACGACGUUGAUAGGUCAGGUGUGUAAGUGCUGCGAGGCAUUGAGCUAACUGAUACUAAUUGCCCGUGAGGCUUAACCAU
rnacentral:rRNA from 1 species